rnacentral:rRNA from 1 species
AGUGCGAAAACGUAAAUAAGUGCGAAAAUUAAAAAAAAGCGCGAUUGUAUCGAAUAAACUCGGUGUCUUCAGAGUACUUAUUCAGCAAAGAUCAAAGAAGUUGUGCUCCACAAACAUCAACUUGAUUUGAUGCAAGCACGAUUUUUUUUCGCACUUUUGAAGACUAAGUGCGCAGUCCAGUGCUGAACUGGAAAAAGGAUGAUAUUCAAAUACCGGUCGUUAGAGGUCCCAGAGAGGUUGAUAGGCCGGUAGAGUGGCGCACCGAUGGUAGAAGAUCUUUCCAUGGAAUCGUGUUGCUUGAUAGUGCAGCACAAAGUGGGAGGUAAACUCCUUCUAAAGCUAAAUAUCACCACGAGACCGAUAGCGAACAAGUACCGUGAGGGAAAGUUGAAAAGCACUCUGAAUAGAGAGUCAAAAAGUACGUGAAACUGCCUAGGGCUCAAGCCCGUUGAACUCGAUUAUCCGAGCGGAGACAUUCACCUGCGGUUGGCCGGCGACGGCACGGCCGCAGGGCACUUGUCUCUCGCACUAGCCAAGAGGACACUGCGAUCCAUUACGAAACAGCUUUCGCGCCGCAAGGCGCAAGGUCGCCCGACAACUGCCCCCUGGUGCUGGUUGCUUGCCCCACAGUAGCGACGCUCAGUUCUGAAGGCCUGUGCCGCGAGGUGGGGCUUACUGCACGUGGUGUUUUGCAGUCGGGCGCGUGAUGGAUUCCCCCGGACACCGGGUGGUCUUCCCGUAAGGGGCCACCGGACUGUCGAUCGGCAGUGAAAGAAUCGAGGUACCUUCGGGACCCGUCUUGAAACACGG